GGUCUUAUAUUUACAUUGGCCAUGAUUAUAGUGAACCUAUAAUUAAAAAUCAUCAAAUUGCGGGAAACCCCUAAAGAUAUCUUAACCAAACAAGAGUGGUAACACAUCUUGCGGCACAGGUAAUGACUCGUGGUAAGGUAAAAUCAAGUUAUAUAAUUCAAUGGGCAAUCCGCAGCCAAGUACCAGGUAUAACUUACAUGGUAUGCAGUUCAUCGACUAAACGGUGGUUAGUGUUAUUAUAAUAAUAAUAAUGCUUAAGAUAUAGUCAAGCCCCACCCGAAAGGGUGCA
rfam:Magnaporthe poae ATCC 64411 mitochondrial scaffold supercont1.206, whole genome shotgun sequence.